rnacentral:rRNA from 1 species
UACGGGAGGCAGCAGUGGGGAAUAUUGGACAAUGGGCGCAAGCCUGAUCCAGCCAUGCCGCGUGUGUGAAGAAGGCCUUCGGGUUGUAAAGCACUUUUGUCCGGAAAGAAAAGCUUAGGGUUAAUAACCUUGAGUCAUGACGGUACCGGAAGAAUAAGCACCGGCUAACUUCGUGCCAGCAGCCGCGGUAAUACGAAGGGUGCAAGCAUUACUCGGAAUUACUGGGCGUAAAAGCGUGCGUAGGUGGUUUUGUUAAGUCUGAUGUGAAAGCCCUGGGCUCAACCUGGGAAUGGCAUUGGAAACUGGCUUACUAGAGUGCGGUAGAGGGGGUGUGGAAUUCCCGGUGUAGCAGUGAAAUGCGUAGAUAUCGGGAGGAACAUCUGUGGUGAAGGCGACACCCUGGACCAGCACUGACACUGAGGCACGAAAGCGUGGGGAGCAAACAGGAUUAGAUACC